GUGGAUGUGUGAAGCUGUGGUCCAGUAGCACAAUGAUAAAGCAGAGAGGGUGUUUCUUGACGCGGCUUUGCUUCUGGAACACCAGAAACCUGUGGGAAGGAACCAAGUGUUUUCACUGAAGGAAGACUUCCAGGGAAGCACAAGAAUUGGUAAGAUAAAAGUAAACAUUUAAUGCCACUAUAUUUUGAUAUCUUUUAAACAUCAUAUCUUUGACAAUAUGUUUCACACCUCAUAUACCACAAAAGGUAAGAGAUUCUUUUUUUUUAAACCAGCAAACAGUGAACUUUACAUUUUAAUGGCAAAAGGCUUGACAUAUUCAUUCAAUCAGUUUCCAUUUUGUGUGUGUUUCUCAGUUACUUUUCCAUUCUUGUCCUACUGCUGUCUGGGUUUCCCCCCCUAUGUUGGUUCUUUCUUCCAGCAAAGCAGAGGUGAGGAACCUCAGAGGCUCCGGGGUCAUGUGCUGCCCCCUAGGCCACUCUGUCUGGCUCCCAGGACUCAUCUCAGGCCACACCCCCUCUCUAUAGGCCAACCCUCGCCAGCCCUCCUUGAGUGAUCUUGCUCAACUGGAAUGGGUCUUUGAACUCCGACAAUGCCUCUUGGUUGCCUGGAUCAAGGAUGGGUGGGUAUGUUUGCAUGGAAGCUAGCCCACUGUACAAAGGUAACAUUUACGUUUGUCUCUUCACCCACUUUUGUCUCUGGCCCCGCCCAUUGCUGGCAUGUGGCCGACCCCCUGGAAGGUUGCACAGAUGGGAUUGUGGCUCUGGGUCUGGAAGAAGUCCCCCACCCCUGUAAUGCAGCUUAGGUGAUAUAGCAGACGAUUAGUGUGUAGAACUGUCUUCUUGUGGAACUUCUCGUGACUGACUCAGUAGAAGUGAUUCCCCCUAGCAGGGGUCUCUCUCCAACCUUACGUGUCUUUAUUAUACCACAGUUACUAUGGAAAAGGACAUAGCCACAGACAGAAUGAAAUGGAUUCAGCAAAUGUACACUUCAAUGCAUAGCACUUAGAUAAGCAUUUCCAAUCAUGAUGGUUAAAUAAAUUAUAAAGUACAAGCAAUUCUAUAAAGCAAGAACAUCCUGAGUUUACAAAUAAAUUAUGUCCUUCAUACGUCAAAUAGGUGGUGGAUGUCAGAUAGCAGUUUCAGCUAGGGAAAUUGGGGAAGGAGCUGAAAUUUAGAAAAAGUAGUAUCUAUGUGUACAUAAAAUCUUUAGGCGAGUGAGCGUUUUAUUCAGAUACCCAUUCACACGCAUAUUAUACAAUAUAUAAGGUGGCUAAAUUCAUAUAGAGAGUAUAUGUCAUAUAGAUAUAGCUGAAACUGCUUUAAGCACCAUUUUUAUUACCAUCAUUUUAUUAUAAAGUAUGCUCCAAAGUUGAGUAGGGCCACUCAAAGUUUUACAAAAUGCAUCCUCUCCUCCAUCCUUGGGAGAGGUUAAAAGGUCAAUUUGAAUGGGUGUUGCUCGGAUUCAAAUAACCUACCAUGGAUUUUUUCCUGCAACAGGAACAUCCUGGACCACUUUGAUCAAGCAGGCUGGAAGUUAAUGCUUGAAUCUGAGUACCAGGAAUUCAGUAGCAAAAGGUAUUCUCAAGAUGGAAAUUUCAAGGAAUAUGAAGGUGGGUCAGAAGAAAGUGAGGUGAGAACAUAUUUCAGCGGAAGAUCAGAAUUUUACCGUUGUUACAAAACUUUCUUCAUGCACUUGGAUCAGGUAGGGAAGACGACAUGUUUUUAGGGCCAGGCUUUUGGAAGUCUUUGUCUCUCUGCACAGGACACAGAGCCGACUUGAGACAUUUGUGCCAU